rnacentral:rRNA from 1 species
UACGUAGGGGGCUAGCGUUGUCCGGAAUCAUUGGGCGUAAAGAGCGUGUAGGCGGCCCGGUAAGUCCGCUGUGAAAGUCCAGGGCUCAACCCUGGGAUGCCGGUGGAUACUGUCGGGCUCGAGUCCGGAAGAGGAGUGUGGAAUUCCUGGUGUAGCGGUGAAAUGCGCAGAUAUCAGGAGGAACACCAAUGGCGAAGGCAGCACUCUGGGACGUGACUGACGCUGAGACGCGAAAGCGUGGGGAGCAAAACAGG